rnacentral:tRNA from 1 species
AGCUCAGCACUUCAGAGCAUCGGUCUUGUAAACCGAACGCCGAGGGUUAAAAUCCC